UGACGAUGAUGAUGACAAAGACGGUGAUGAUGAUGAUGAUGGCGAAAGGACUGACGAAAAUAUCACGCGGAAAUCAUUCUUCCUCCUAGUUGUCACUGCUUUUAUCAUUCUCAUUGUCAUCAUCAACAUCGUCAUUAUCAUCAUCG
rnacentral:pre_miRNA from 1 species